AUGGCUCAGGAUGAACGCUGGCGGCGUGCUUAACACAUGCAAGUCGAACGAAGCAGUUUAUUACGAUCCCUUCGGGGUGACGAUUUACUGACUGAGUGGCGGACGGGUGAGUAACGCGUGGGUAACCUGCCUUGUACAGGGGGACAACAGUUGGAAACGACUGCUAAUACCGCAUAAGCGCACAGCUUCGCAUGAAGCAGUGUGAAAAGUAUUUUCGGUACAAGAUGGACCCGCGUCUGAUUAGCUAGUUGGUGAGGUAACGGCCCACCAAGGCGACGAUCAGUAGCCGACCUGAGAGGGUGACCGGCCACAUUGGGACUGAGACACGGCCCAAACUCCUACGGGAGGCAGCAGUGGGGAAUAUUGCACAAUGGGCGAAAGCCUGAUGCAGCGACGCCGCGUGAGCGAAGAAGUAUUUCGGUAUGUAAAGCUCUAUCAGCAGGGAAGAUAAUGACGGUACCUGACUAAGAAGCACCGGCUAAAUACGUGCCAGCAGCCGCGGUAAUACGUAUGGUGCAAGCGUUAUCCGGAUUUACUGGGUGUAAAGGGAGCGUAGGCGGUUUUACAAGUCUGAUGUGAAAGCCCGGGGCUCAACUCCGGUAUUGCAUUGGAAACUGUAGAACUAGAGUGUCGGAGGGGUAAGUGGAAUUCCUAGUGUAGCGGUGAAAUGCGUAGAUAUUAGGAGGAACACCAGUGGCGAAGGCGGCUUAC
rnacentral:rRNA from 1 species